CAAGGGGCUCCAAUGCCUGUAGACUGCUGGAGUGGCCGUUUGUCCCCUGGAGGCCUGGCGUGUGUCUCCCUCCUCCUGUCAUCUCAGCUGCUUGCCUGACUUUAGCAAAGCCACUGGCCCCCUUCUCCAGGACUUUUCUCAUGGAGCUGCUGAGGAAGGAUCAAAUCCAGCAUGCAGGUGACUACAGUCCCAUCCCCCGGCGUUAUCUCACAGUGGUACAGAAGGUCUGUGAGCUGCUGGAGACCCCAUGAGCUGGGACAAAGGAGCCGAGGGGCAGCAAAGGCUGCUUCCCCAGCCCCACCCUCACUUCCACUCCAGUUCCCCCAGGCAGAAAAGUGAAGCCACCGGAGCCUGCUUUGUAAUUCCCUACUCACUAAAGAAGCAAAAGGAAAUGAAAAGUCCACAAUUAUCUUUCUGUCUCCCUCUAUCAGCCCAUAAACUUGGGUAAGGGGCACAUUGUUCUUGGAAUGGACUCAGAACAGAGUAGUUAUAAUAUCAGAAUGACUUUCUUUUAGGUAACCCUUAGCAAUAAAGAGAUACCCACACACCUUAAAAAGGUGACUAAAAUCCUAAGUAGAUGUAUAGCAGGCUUAGAUUUGCCUCAUUCUCAUUCAACAAAAGUUUUAAGAGAUUUUCAAUCCAGGUGCAGUGGUUUAUGCCGGUAAUCCCAGCACUUUGGGAGGCUGAGGCAGGAGGAUCACUUGAGCUCAGGAGUUUGAGACCAGCCUGGCCAACAGAGUGAGACCCCCAUCUCUAUAAAAAAAUGUAAAAAUUAGCAGGUGUUGUGGUGCACACUUGUAGUCUCACCUACUAAGGAGACUGAGGUGGGAGGACUGCUUGAACCUGGGAUGUCAAGGCUGUGGCGUGCUCAGCCCUGUCUGAAAUAAAAUAAUAAAAUUCUAUGAUUUACAGAACUGUGCUAAGGGGAGGCUCAUGCACCUCACUAACUAGAAGCUUAAUUUGUGCAGCUUAUAGGCCCCUGCCAGGUUAGGGGUGUAAUGACCAAACAAAAGAGGGCUGAAGUUUAUGCUAGCAGCAAAUGAACACUUAAAACACAAAAACAAAGAAAAAACUUUUAUGUCAGAAAAAAACUUUAAGUCAUAAUUGCAUCCAAACAACGUAAUUGCACUCAAACAACAGCUAUGUGGGGUUUUGUCUUUGUUUUUGUUUUUUGAGACAGAAUCUCCCUCUGUCACUCUGGCUGGAGUGCCGUGGUGCAAUCUUGGCUCACUGCCAACUCUGCCUCCUGGGUUCAAGCGAUUUUCCUGCCUCAGCCUCCUGAGUAGCUGGGAUUACAGGCAUGCACACCAUGCCAGGCUAAUUUUUUGUAUUUUCAGUAGAGAUGGGGUUUCACCAUGUUGACUAGGCCGGUCUUGAACUCUUGACCUCAAGUGAUCCACCUGCCUCGGCCUCCCAAAGUGCUGGGAUUACAGGUGUGAACUACCGUGCCCAGCCUCAAACAACAGCUAUUUGGAUAAGACAAAGUAUUCCAAUAGUCCUCAGCAGUCGCAAAAACAAAAACAAAAACCCAACACUUUGGAUUCCCAUAUUAUUAUGCCUUAUUGCUCCUUGACAUCAUUUGGAUAUUUGUCCCCACCCAGUUUUCAUGCUGUGGGGCCUGCUGGGAGGUGAUUGGAUCAUGGGGGUGGAUUUCUCAUGAAUGGUUUAGCACCUUCCCCUUGGUGCUGUCCUUGCAAUAGUGAGUGAGUUCCUGUGAGAUCUGGUUGUUUAAAAGCGUGUGGCCCCGGCCGGGCGCGGUGGCUCACGCCUGUAAUCCCAGCACUCUGGGAGGCUGAGGCAGGCAGAUCACGAGGUCAGGAGUUCAAGACCAGCCUGGCUAACAUUGUGAAACCCUGUCUCUACUAAAAAUACAAAAAUUAGCCGGGCAUGGUGGCGCGAGCCUGUAAUCCCAGUUACUUAGGAGGCUGAGGUAGACAACUGCUUGAAUCCAAGAGGCAGAGGUUGCAGUGAGCCGAGAUCAUGCUGCUGCACUCCAGCCUGGGCAACAGAGUGAGACUCCGUCUCAAAAAAAAUAAAAAGUGCGUGGCCUCUCCCCACUCGCUCUCUUGCCCCCCCUCUGCCAUGUGGGAUACCAGCUCCUGCUUCACCUCCUUCUUGGAGUAAAAGCCCCCUGAGGCCUUAUAGGAAGCUGAACAGAUGCUGGAGCCAUGCUUGUACAACCCGCAGAACCCUGAGCAAAU
rnacentral:lncRNA from 10 species